rnacentral:tRNA from 1 species
GAAGGUAUAGCUCAGUGGUAGAGCGCAUACACAUACAUACACAAGGUCCUGGAUUCAAUCCCCAGUACCUCCA